rfam:Schistosoma rodhaini strain Burundi genome assembly, scaffold: SROB_scaffold0017596
AUCCAGCUGACGAGUCACAAAUCAAACGAAACGCGCGUCCUGGAU